UCUAAGAAGACAAGAGUCAGUCUAAGACGCCCAGCCAGUGGCGGCUUUUGUGAGCAGGUAGGCUGAUCUCUCUCAUCUGCACAGAAGGGAAGAUCUACAGCUGUCGAGGACGGCAGGUGGCAUCUCGGGGCCUCCUGUGUGCUGUGGCUCACGGUGCAUGGGGAAAGCAGCAGGUGUCGAUGGACCCUGCGCUUGGGGGGCAUGGGGAGCUGGGAGACAGCAGGCAAGGGCUUCGUUAACAGAACGAACACCAGCUGCAGGCCCAGCGCUGCGGGGAGCCGGCCAAGGCCACACUGGAGUCCUCACCCUCCCAGGCCAGCGGGAUGGGGUGGUGGGAAAAUGGCAGCAAGCAAGCUUCAGAAGAGACGCUCAGCUCAGGAGGCGACUCUUAACGAGCCUCACCUACUCCAGGUACAUUUCGAUCUGUUUCCGCGUCCUCACCGUACACACUCAGACCUUAUGUUAUCAGAUUUGGGGCUGUUUCUGCGUCCUCACCGUACACACUCAGACCUUACGUUAUCACAUUUGGGGCUGUUUCUGCGUCCUUGCCGUACACACUCAGACCUUACGUUAUCACAUUUGGGGCUGUUUCUGCGUCCUCGCCGUACACACUCAGACCCUAUGUUAUCCGAUUUUGAUCUGUUUCUGCGUCCUUGCCGUACACACUCAGACCUUACGUUAUCACAUUUGGGGCUGUUUCUGCAUCCUCGCCGUACACACUCAGACCUUAUGUUAUCACAUUUGGGGCUGGACGUCAGGGGUGUCAGGUUGGCGUCCCCCCUCCCCACCCCACUCCCCAGCACCGGAUGUCAUCUGUAUGUCCUGAAUGACUGGCUCCCUGCCUUAGCAUGCUCCAUGUUCCUGCACUCCUUGGCCAUCACGGAAUGUUCUGGAUGUGGAGACCAUGUUCAUCCAAACCCUUUUUUGCGUGGGGCCCAGGGAUCCUGUGGGAAAGGUGUCAGCCUCCUCGCUGGAGUUCAGACGUUCACGCACCUGUGCGUUAGACUGAGGACGUGUUCUGGAAAGGGACUUGAGGGGAUCCCCAGGAAGGUGUCCCGAGAAGGAGGCUGGCAGUGCAGGAUGAGGUGGGGUCCGCCGGCCCUGGGUCAGCACCCCUCCCGCCACGAAGGCCCACGGGUUUCCCGACGGGGAGGGGAGCUGGAAGCAGGAGGAGGACCCUCCAGCAGCGGCCCCCCAGGCAGGGCAGCCACAGAGCUGGGGACAGCACUUGACUGCGGGAGGCCCGUCAUGGGGUUCCCAGGGCUCCUGCAGGGGCCUCGUGAGGGAGCCCUUGGGGUCACUCCGCAGUCUGGGCUUUCUGUAGUCCAGUGGGUGAGGGCGCCAAGCACCAGGAGAGAUCCAAGGAUGCGCUUAUGUUUGGGCCACCCCUGGUGGGCGUAUUCGUUCAGCUCCCUUCGUUCCCUGGCCAGCUCUACUUACAUCUGUUUGUGAAGAAUUAUUACACAGAACCUAGAAACCAGCUUUCGCUUUUCUCCCAGGGUUGGAGCCCAGGAAGCAAACCAGCACUGCACCCUGGAUUUCAGCCAGCGGACCAAAGCCCGGCCCUCAGCUUUCUCAGACCGGCCCUGGAGUGGGUGGCCCGGGGAGACCUGGGAAGUGGCCCUGCUGGUCCUGCAGACUGUGUGGCUUCGCAGCUGUCUAGAUGGAGGGGUCACAGUUCUCUCAUGCUGGACGAGGACACUGACGCAUGGAAACUCACCCCAAACCUUGAAUCGUGAUGGCAUCUGAGGCAGCCCGACCGGCGUCACAUGAACCUGAAAAGAAUCAAGAUAUAAUUUAUUUUUAAAAUAAAUCACUUUCAGAA